UAGGAUCAAUGGUUGAAAUUUGUGUAAAGUUAACCAAGAGACUCCUUUUUGGCUCUAUUGGUAAAAAUAUCUUGCCAUAUAGAGAUUUUGAGUUUAUUGUUUGCAAGACCGUUCAUCUCGUGAACAGGCGACCAAUUGCCUUCAAGGAAGCCUUGAGAGAUUCAUCUGGUGACUGUGUUCCUGAUUCAAUCACGCCUGAAGUUUUAAUUAAAGGAUAUGACUUGUUAUCUUUGAACGUUAUUCCAGAGCUUCAGAGAAAUCCUGAACCUGAAUGGAUGCCCUUUGAGCCCUUAAACAAGGUGAAAAAUAAUUACGAAAAACUUCAGAAAACUCUUAAGCUCAGAUAUUUAUAACGAAGAAUUCUUAUGUACUCUUAUCCACCAAGCAGUUAACUUAAAAGACGGGUAUAAGCCCGUGACGCACAAAAUUCUUCAAAGAGGUGAUAUUGUUCUAAUAAAAGAACCAAUGACCAAACAAAGUAACUACCCAAUGGUUAUUGUUAAAGACGUAGUGAAAAAUCUUCAUAAUGAAGUAGUGAAAAAUCUUCAUAAUGAAGUCACGGGUGCCAUAGUUAUGAAAGGUAAAACGAGACACAUAUUGAAGCGGCACUCUUCCACGUUGAUACCCUUACUUAGAGUUGCCUAAUAAUGAUGAAAUGAUCACUCUUCCUGGCCCAAGUGGUGUUGAAUGUUCAGCAAGACCCAAAAGGACAGCCAUUGAGAGUGAAAUAAAGACUAAAGAUAUUCUUGAUAAUUUCUAGGUUACUACCUGUAAAAAAUUUUUCUUGUGACUUGCAUUAUUAAUGUAACUGUAUACAUAAAUUUGAUUCGUAAUGGAAUCAAAUUCCCUUCCUUGGAGUGAAGAAAAUAUAAAUUUUCAGUUAUUUGUUUAGACUUUUAACAUUUUUCUAAUAUUUUUUUUAGUAACGUUAACUUGACAUUUUCUCAUAACAUUUUUGUGACAUGUUAAAAUAAUUGCUUUUCUGAAUGUAAAUUUGUAUAGAAAUCACUGUUUAAAGUGACACCACCUCCUUCCCGAAUCCUUGUUGGAGAACUUUGACUGCCUGAAAUUACUCCACUCGGGUAGAAACCGGCUGUUUUAUGUUUUUCUUCGCGGCAAGAAGGGCCGAAGGUUGGCAGUUCGGCUCACAGCUCCAUCGUAGUUUGCAGCGCAGCUCACAGCUCCUUCAUAGUCCGAAGGACUGGAAACUCGGUAUUCUGUGGAACUUUCACUUGCAAUGGAGCACUAAUUAACCCUCGUCUGCUACAGUAGUCUCAAGCCAUCGACACCAACGACAGACUUCGCAUACCAUCAACUGAUGUCUUGUACUAACCGUUUUAAGGAUGGAAAUUUCUUGAGUGAGUGGGACGGAAUUGGGGAGGAUUGGGAGAUCUGGUGUCAUCGGUCUUCUUCUACUUGAUAGAAUCCAGUCCAGACAACCAACAAGCAGUUACUGUUCACCUAUUCAGUCAUUUCUAAUAAAUAAGUUGGGAUUUUA